CCUACGGGUGGCUGCAGUGAGGAAUAUUGGUCAAUGGACGCAAGCCUGAACCAGCCAUGUCGCGUGCAGGAAGACGGCCCUACGAGUUGUAAACUUCUUUUGUACGAGGAUAAAGUCAGAUACGCGUACCUUUCUGUAAGUACUGUAUGAAUAAGGAUCGGCUAACUCCGUGCCAGCAGCCGCGGUAAUACGGAGGAUUCAAGCGUUAUCCGGAUUUAUUGGGUUUAAGGGGUGCGUAGGUGGACGGUUAAGUCAGUGGUAAAAUUUGGGGGCUCAACCUCGUCGAGCCAUUGAAACUGGGUGCCUUGAGUAGGCGAGAGGUACGCGGAAUGCGUGGUGUAGCGGUGAAAUGCUUAGAUAUCACGAAGAACUCCGAUUGCGAAGGCAGCGUACCAACGCGCAACUGACACUGAAGCACGAAGGCGUGGGUAUCGAACAGGAUUAGAUACCCGGGUAGUC
rnacentral:rRNA from 1 species